UACGUAGGGCGCAAGCGUUAUCCGGAAUUAUUGGGCGUAAAGAGCUCGUAGGCGGUUCGAUAAGUCGGGUGUGAAACCUCCAGGCUCAACCUGGAGACGCCACCCGAUACUGUCGUGACUAGAGUCCAGUAGGGGAGCGUGGAAUUCCUGGUGUAGCGGUGAAAUGCGCAGAUAUCAGGAGGAACACCAGCGGCGAAGGCGGCGCUCUGGGCUGGAACUGACGCUGAGGAGCGAAAGCGUGGGGAGCGAACAGG
rnacentral:rRNA from 1 species